CACCAUGCAGGGCUGAUUAGUUGCCAUGGCUCUUAAAAGGCGUUUGUCCUCUGGGGACCUCCAAGGACCACGGCUUCCCCUCUCUCUCUCAGAUGCCAUUGAGGUCCCCAGGACUGCGAGGCCACAGCGAUGGGCAGCUCUGAGCUGAGAUGGAGGCACUCGACCACACGUUGCUCAGCACAUCCCCUGUCCUGCUUGAGCAGAGCAUCCCAGCAACGGGGAUCUGUGCAUCACAUAAUGUGACAGUGCGGUGACACCCUCAGCAGCCCCAUACAGCACCCUCAGCCCUACAGACAAUGGGGUCAGGCUGUUUGCUGCUGGUGACCUUGUUCCUGGCUUCAAAUCAUCACACCUGACCCUGCUGAUCCCAAACCACUUCCCAGCAGCUCAUGUGCCACCAUCUGAGAGUGCCUCCAAAC
rnacentral:lncRNA from 1 species